rnacentral:rRNA from 1 species
UACGGGGGGAGCAAGCGUUGUUCGGAUUUACUGGGCGUAAAGGGCGCGUAGGCGGCCACCGCAAGUCAAUUGUGAAAUCUCCGGGCUUAACUCGGAACGGUCAGGUGAUACUGCUUUGCUAGAGUGCGGAAGGGGCAAUCGGAAUUCUUGGUGUAGCGGUGAAAUGCGUAGAUAUCAAGAGGAACACCUGAGGUGAAGACGGGUUGCUGGGCCGACACUGACGCUGACAGCGCGAAAGCCAGGGGAGCAAACGGG